UACGUAGGGAGCAAGCGUUGUCCGGAAUCAUUGGGCGUAAAGCGCGCGUAGGUGGCCCCGUAAGUCCGCUGUGAAAGUCAAAGGCUCAACCUUUGAAAGCCGGUGGAUACUGUGGGACUAGAGUACGGAAGAGGCGAGUGGAAUUCCUGGUGUAGCGGUGGAAUGCGCAGAUAUCAGGAGGAACACCGGUGGCGAAGGCGGUUCUCUGGGCCUUACCUGACGCUGAGGAGCGAAAGCGUGGGGAGCGAACAGG
rnacentral:rRNA from 1 species